AUUCGUCACACUAUCAUUAACUGAAUCCAUAGGUUAAUGAGGCGAACCGGGGGAACUGAAACAUCUAAGUACCCCGAGGAAAAGAAAUCAACCGAGAUUCCCCCAGUAGCGGCGAGCGAACGGGGAGCAGCCCAGAGCCUGAAUCAGUGUGUGUGUUAGUGGAAGCGUCUGGAAAGGCGCGCGAUACAGGGUGACAGCCCCGUACACAAAAAUGCACAUGCUGUGAGCUCGAUGAGUAGGGCGGGACACGUGGUAUCCUGUCUGAAUAUGGGGGGACCAUCCUCCAAGGCUAAAUACUCCUGACUGACCGAUAGUGAACCAGUACCGUGAGGGAAAGGCGAAAAGAA
rnacentral:rRNA from 1 species